rnacentral:rRNA from 1 species
GACGAACGCUGGCGGCGUGCUUAACACAUGCAAGUCGAACGGAAAGGCCCUGCUUUUGUGGGGUGCUCGAGUGGCUAACGUGUGAGUAACACGUGAGUAACCUGCCCUUGACUUUGUGAUACCUUCAGGAAACUGGGGCUAAUACCGGAUAGGAGCUCCUGCUGCAUGGUGGGGGUUGGAACGUUUCGGCGGUUGGGGAUGGACUCGCGGCUUAUCAGCUUGUUGGUGGGGUAGUGGCUUACCAAGGCUUUGACGGGUAGCCGGCCUGAGAGGGUGACCGGCCACAUUGGGACUGAGAUACGGCACAGACUCCUACGGGAGGCAGCAGUGGGGAAUAUUGCACAAUGGGCGGAAGCCUGAUGCAGCAACGCGGCGUGCGGGAUGACGGCCGUCGGGUUGUAAACCGCUUUCGCCUGUGACGAAGCGUGAGUGACGGUAAUGGGUAAAGAAGCACCGGCUAACUACGUG